rnacentral:lncRNA from 1 species
CUUUUAUUGAAAAGCUUGACAUGGUAGCUUUUUAUAUCCCCAAAGAUGUUCACAUUCCAAUUCCUGGUGUUAAGCCUGUGAAUAUGUCAACAUUACAUAACAGGAAAUUAUGCUUGUAGAUAGAAUCAAUUGCUAGUAAAUUGACCUUAAAGUAGAGAGAGUAUCCUGGAUUAUCCAGAUGGGUCCAAAGUAGUCACAUGGGUCCUUACAAGUGAAGAAGGAAGGCCAAAAUGUGGGUUAGAGAAAAGUAGCCAUGAAAGAAGGGGCAAGAGAGAUGGCAGCACGGAGGAGACCUCAGGACAAUUGGAUGGAACUGAAUUCUGCCAACGCCUGAGCGAACAUGGAAAUGAAUGUUCCCCUAUAGUCUCCAGAAAGAAAAAUCAGUGUGCUGGCAUCUUGAUUUUAGCCCAGGGAGACGAUGUUGGACUUCUGACCUCCACAACUCCCAUUCCUGCCACUCGCUUCUCUUGAAUUAAUGAAUCCUGGAAGAAUCAAGGAUGGCAUCAUGAAGGAUUUGAAUUCUCAUCUGUGUCUUAGCGAAUGGUUCGUUAGUGACAUUUUACCUUUCUGUGAAAAGGAGUCUCAUGUUUUCUACCAUCAUCCAUGGAACAGUGACAGCCACAUUUGUUAGCUUGUAGCACUAUUCAUAAUAUCAAAGACACGGAAUCAACCUAAAUGUCCACCAAUGAUAGACUGUAUAAAGAAAAUGUGCUACAUAUACACCAUGGAAUACUAUGCAGCCAUAAAAAGAAUUAGAUAAUGUUUCAUUAUUUUCAUGUCCUUUGCAGGGACAUGGAUGGAGCCGGGGACCAACCUUAGCAAACUAACACAGGAACAAAAAAACCAAAUACUGCAUGUUCUCACUUAUAAGUGGGAGCUAAAUGAUGAGAAUACAUGGACACAUAGACGGGAACAACACACACUGGGAACCAACAAAGGGUGGAGGGUGGGAGGAAGAAGAGGAUCGAGAAAAAUGACUAACGGGUACUAGGCUUCAUACCUCCCGGGUGAUGAAAUAAUCUGUACAAGAAACUCUCGUGACAAAAGUUUACCUAUGUAACACAAAUGCAUGUAUAACCCUGAACUUAAAAUAAAAGUUAAAAAAAGAAGAAGUAGGGUAAGUUCUCAGAUCCUUUUCUGGUUCUUGAUACCUAUUUCUUGAAAAGUUUUAAAGUAAAAUAUUUAUUCUUAAUUAAAAUUUUAUCUAAACAUAUGUAUAUGUACUCUUGAAAGCAGUAUGUUUUGACUGUCUCUGUGUCCCCACCCAAACCUCACCUUGAAUUGCAAUCCCUAGCUUCCACUUGUACAUGCUCAUGGCAACUUCCCUUUCCCCAAACUGUGACAAGCAGAAAUGUCUCCAGAUACUGCCAAAUUCUCCAGAUACUGCAAAAUGCCUGCCAUACACACUGUUUACAAUCACUGUACUAGACUAAGCUCUCAAAAUAUACACUGCAAAUAUUUCCCUACCUUUUUUUUUUCUCUAGUAUCCUCCAUAGUGUUUGAUCAAUAAUAAGGGCUCAUUAAGAAAUAUUGCCAAAAAAAAAAAAAGAAAAGAAAAAGGAUAAACUUCCCUUGGAAUUAAAAGAUUCAUUAUAAAAGUUUAUAUAAAAAGUCAGAUAUACUUAAAAAGUCAUUUACAAAUUAUGUUUGUCACCUCAUCUGUUAAAUUUUGAUUACUACUAUUGUGGAAAUAUGUUUCCUUUUUCUCAUUUUUAAACUACUGACCUCUACAGAGAAAAACAGUCAAAAGAAAAUCUAUGGUUGCUUUUUUCUUUCUUUUCAUUUUUCUGUUUCAGCUAAAAACUUUGAAUUGAAGAUUAAUGACUGAAUACAAUGAAUUGCAUUAUUUUCAAGUGACUGUAAGCUUGUGUGCGCUGAGAGAAAAGCUUCAGUUAUAAUUGUUUAUAACUUGUGUUAUUCCCAUAUUUUUCGUGAAUAUAUCUUCCAUCAAAGUUUCUUCUCCUUCCAUAAAAUAAAUUUCCAUUUAUUCAAUAGUGUAAGUUUUUCAACACACAGCAAUUUUGAUAGCAUUGUAUGAAAAUAAAAUGAUAAAUCCGUAGAAAAUUAGUUGUAGUUAAAGCUGAAUUCCCAUGAUGUAUGAAGUCUGCAGGAUAUCUAGGAGGAAGAUCUAUAAGGUAACUGCUGCAGGAUACAAUUUUGUCACUUUUUUAAUACUUAAAAAUAUAGUAAUCUCAUACAAUUUAUCAGCAAGAUGUGUUUCAGUGUUUUCAUGAUAUCUGAGCACUGAACUCAGCAUUCUUUUCUUGUUUCAUCAGAAGGUCGAUGCACUUGUUCCCUAUUUUCAAAAUAUGGGAUGUUAUGUCUUCAGAAAAUCAGUGGUUUAGAUGCCAUGACAUAGUAUAUUUGAAUAAAGUACAUUUAUUAGAAAUGUAUAUUAAAAUAUGUUCCAGAGAUAAUUUUUUUUAAUUACUUUCUUUUACUCUUGGUACUUGCUUCUGUAGAAGCAAAGCAAAACAAAAAUUAGUAGAUUAAAGCAGGGUUUAAAUAUAUGGUUAUGAUUGUUUACUGAUAGGGGAUCGUAAAUGUGUUUUAAUAAGAUAUAAAUUUCUACUGCUUAAAAUACCUUUCUUUUUAAAUGCAACUUGUAAGCUUUAAAUUAAGGCGACACUUAUUACAUUUAUUCAGAGAUAGGAUAACCAUAGGAGGCCUCUGAAACUUGACUACCUGGCUUCAAAUUCCCAUGUUCCCCAACCAAAAAAAUAUAAAUUUCAUGAGAAUAAAUUUUUAAUUUUUUUGUUCACUGAUGUUUCCCAAAGGCCUUGAAUAGUGCCUAGCACAAAACAAGAAUUUAACAGACAUUUUAAAAAAUUAUAAUUAUUAUUUUUGAGAUACGGCCUUGCUCUGUCACCCGGGCUGGAGUGCAGUGUUAUGAUCAUGGCUCACUGCAGCCUCAACCUCUUGUGCUCAGAAGAUCCUCUUACCUCAGCCUCCCGAAUAGCUAGAACAUAGGCAAAAACCACCACAACACGCUAAUUUCUGUUUGUUUUGUAGAGAUGGUGUUUCACCACAUUGCCCAGGCUGGUUUCAAACUCCUAAACUCAAGAGAUCCGCCUGUCUCAGUCUCCCAAUGUGCUGUGAUUACAGGCAUAAGUCACUGUAUCUGGCCAACAAAGAUUAUAUGCAUUAAUUAAUUAAGUCCCUAUUUGUAUAUUAGUUUUCUAUUCCUGCUGUAUCAAAUUAGCACAAUCUUUUUUGUUUGUUUGAGACGGAGUCUCGCUAUCGCCAAGGCUGGAGUGCAGUGGCGCGAUCUCGGCUCACUGCAGGGUCCGCCCCCCAGGUUCACACCAUUCUCCUGCCUCAGUCUCCCGCGUAGAUGGGACUACAGGCGCCCGCCACCUCGCCCAGCUAAUUUUUUGUACUUUUAGUAGAGACGGGGUUUCACCGUGUUAGCCAGGAUAGUCUCGAUCUCCUGACCUCGUGAUCCGCCCGCCUCGGCCUCCCAAAGUGCUGGGAUUACAGGCGUGAGCCACCGCGCCCGGCCAAAUUAGCACAAUCUUAGUAGCUGAAAACACAUGAAUUUAUUAUCAUUCAGUCUUGAAGGUCAAAUAUCUGACAUAGGUCCCACUGGGUUAAAAACAAGGUACUAGCCAGGCUGCACAGCCCCUGGAGGUUAUACAGGAGAAUCCAUUUCAGUGCCUUUUCCAGCUUCUAGAGUCGCCUUCGUUCCAACGCCCAUGGCCACUUUUCACCUUCAAAGCUAGCAAUGGCUGGUUAGGUCUUUCUCACAUAGCAUCACUGUUGACACUGACUCCUUCUGCCACCUGCUUCUUUAUUUAAAGAUCCUUGUAAUUAUAUUGGGUCCACCUGGAUAAUCCAGGGUAAUCUCUCUAUUUUAAAGACAACAGAUUAGCCACCUCAUUUUCACAUGCAACCUGAUUCCCUUCUGUCAUAUAUGUAACAUACAUUCACAGGCUUCAGGGACCUGCAGGUGCACAUCUUUGGGUUAUAAUUAUUCUGCCAACGAGACUUUCCUAAUUUUGCAAUAUUAAGUAAAUUAUUUAACCACAUUGUACUACUUAUCAUAUUUGUAAAAUGUAGAUCUGCAAAAUGUUGAAUACCUAUUUCAUUAAUUUGUUGUACGGAGUUAUUGCAUGUAAAAUUCUUGGAACUGUGUAUAGUGCAUUGUUGUCACACAGUAAAAUGUAGUUUUUAUGAUUAUAAGUGUGUCCUUUAGAAGCUAAUAUUUUAUGUUCAAUAAUUUAGUUCCACUCUUCUUUAAAGGAGGAUGAAUUGAUGACAUCUGCUUAAGGUUCUGUGAAUGCUUAAUGAUAUUCAAACUUUGAAAAUGGAAAAGGUGACUUCAAUUUCAAGAUUCUAUUCUCAAAAGGUAUAUCUUUCUGGCUUUAUGUGCUGAAGUAAGUCGCCUAAAGAUAUCAUCAGAAAACACAAAUGGUUUGCAGUGUAAAUGAAGUAAUGAAAUUCUUAAGUACUUUUAAAAUCUAUUUGUCUGUUUGUGAUCUAUCUAUCAUCUAUCUAUCUAUCUAUCUAUCUAUAACGAAAUAUAUAAAACUAGAUAAUCUUCAAAUAUAGAAAGGUUUGGGACCCUCCCUUGAAUGUGUCUCAAACAGUAAGUUUAAGAGUGGUCCUGGAGGAAUUAAUCAGAUUAAGCAAGGGACUAUCACUCAGAUUAAAACCAUAGAAAAAUGCUAGUCAUAACUUAUUCCUGGAGAAUGAAAUUUAGGUACAUGAAUGAAUCUUUUGUACUCUCAACUAAACCAAGUAAAUUAUCCCUGCAUCUUAGUUGGGGCAAGUUUAAGAUAAAAUAAUGGCAGUAUUAGUUAAUAUGAGUAAAGGUUAUGUAGCAAUAGUAUAGCAAAGGAGAAAAGUCUCAAACAGCAGUCAUUUCCUCACUGAUGCAAAACAUUAUGCAAUUUAAUUCAUUACAGAAAAAUUAAGUCAUUGGUAGUAUUUUUAAUGUGAGUUUAAUUUCAAGUGUGUGCUUAUGUGUUCUCCAGUAAUCUUGUGAAGUAUAAAAUGUAAGUAUUCUAAUUGCUUAUUUUCAUUUCUCUUGAAAGAAGAAAAUUAUUUUCACACUCUAACUGUAUUUAC